rnacentral:lncRNA from 1 species
GCUGAUCUCCACAAUUAACUCUGCAAUAAUGUUGAAAAAAAACGGAAGCAUUAUUAAGUGUUUGAGAAAGUAAAUGAAAGGGUAGUUUCUUAUCCUGUUUUUCUUCGAAUUCUCUUAAUAACUGAUUUUCUCAUAAGUCAUGUUUAUGGGUAACAAGAAAUGUGUGGUUAUAAUACAUUUUUCCUUGUGCACAUGGCGUAUUGCUAAGACCAAGCAUGUGGAAGUGAUUUUCCGUAGAGAACCACACAGUCACGAGAAUUUCUGCCACAAUUUUAUUAGUGCCUUUAAUUUGCAAGAAUGUCUUGAUUUGUUUUCCUUGAGAUUUUGAGUUGUUGCAACAUUUAGUUGUAUAGUAGAUCACCAUCAAUCUGAAUCUACUACUCAAAUUGGUUGUCCCUCUUUUUAACUCUUGAGAAAUGUAGCAUCGUAUUUCAUUUUCUUAAUUUCUUUUAAUCCCUAUCUGCCCUUCUAGAGAGAUUUAUGUAUUAGAAUGAGUGUUGGUUAACCUGGAUGUAUGUGGUUAGUUCAUUUUGAUUUUAUCUUAGUCUUGAUUUCUUAAAGCUGCAGUUCAGAUUAACUACUCAACAAUAACUAUCGGGACCAGUGAUUUGAUCUUUCGGAAAGAGUAUCUCUACCUCCACGAGGUAGUGAUAAGAUCUGAUAAGAUAUGUUGUUGUUUGAACUCUAUUGAUUUGUAUAAUCUCUUCCUCAUUCUACUACUUAACUAUCACUAAGACUUCAGAGUCUUAAGUAUUGUUCAUGUUUAUUACCUACUUUACUGUUCUACAAGUGAUUUUGUUCCAAAAUUAAGUACACUAUGUCAGUUACCUGUUUUCCAGAUCAAACUGGAUAAAAAUGGUAUUGGGAAGAGAGGACAACAAAACAGGAAGUGAGAUGAGAGGGACGACAAAAUGGAAAAGGGAAGCGACAUGAAGGAG